rnacentral:rRNA from 1 species
GAUGAACGCUGGCGGCGUGCCUAACACAUGCAAGUCGAACGAUGAAACCGCCCUCGGGCGGACAUGAAGUGGCGAACGGGUGAGUAACACGUGACCGACCUGCCCCCCGCCCAGGGACAGCCCCCCGAACGGGGGAUUAAUACCUGGUACUCCGGAAGCGGCGCAUGCCGCCCCCGGGAAAGCUCUGGCGGCGGGGGAUGGGGUCGCGGCCCAUCAGGUAGACGGCGGGGUAGGAGCCCACCGUGCCGACGACGGGUAGCCGGGUUGAGAGACCGACCGGCCACAUUGGGACUGAGAUACGGCCCAGACUCCUACGGGAGGCAGCAGUGGGGAAUUUUGCGCAAUGGGGGCAACCCUGACGCAGCAACGCCGCGUGCGGGACGAAGGCGUCCGCGUCGUAAACCGCUUUCAGCGGGGAACACUUUUCGAGGGUACCCGCAGAAGAAGCCCCGGCUAAAUACGUGCCAGCAGCCGCAGUAA